rnacentral:lncRNA from 12 species
UAUUACCCUGAGAAGAAAGUUUUACAUCCUCUGAUCCCAAGAAAGCAAACACACAAACAAAAAAUCACAGCAAACAAAACAGCACCAUCAUUACCAGACUUGAGAGCUGGGGUGCCCGACCCUGGAAGGCUGGCACGGCAGGUGUUUCUCGGGUUCGGCUCAGCCCCCACAGCUCCGCCGCAAGGUGGUUCAAGCCUCCCCGACCUGCCAGCGCUCCGGACCCCAGCUCUGCCCCUAGUAUCGCCUGAUUCGAGGGAGGGAGACGGCUCGGGGUUCAUCGGGGUCGGAACCCCCUGCAGAAGGAAAAGGGGGGACCAACCCCUUCACCUUCGAAUACAGGCCAAGGUUAAAGUCCGGGCGCUGGAGCCCGAGCAGCAGAGUCUCUACCUGCUCUACCCGCGGUCGGGCCGCCGGGCCCGGCUCCCGGCUCCCGCCCCGCGCCCCGCGCCCCCAGCCCCCCGGGGCGCGGCUCCCGGCUCCCUGUGUCUCCUUCCUCCCGGCGGGGUGGGGCGGGGCGGCCGGCGGAGGGUCACGGCGCCCGGGGCCGCGCACUCACCGCACACCAUCAGCAGCAGCACGACCAGCAGCGUGGCCACGAACACCACCAGGGUCAGCCCCACGUUGUGCCACAUCUUGGGCGGAGGACGGCGGGCGGCGGGCGGCGGCGCGGGCCGGGCUCGAGCGCCCCCGGGGGGCGGGGCGGGGCGGGGCGUAGCCGGGCGGUGCGGCCCCUCCUUGGCUCCCGGGCCCGCGGGGCGCGCGCGGCGUGGGCGCCCCUACCCGGUCAUCGCCCCCGGGAGCCCGAGACUCCGGGGCAGCGGGGAGGGGGCUCCCCUCGGCGCGCAGGACCCGCGGCUGACGCCUCCCGGCUCCGGGCUCCCGGCUCCCGCAGCAGCGCUCGGCCCCAGUCCCCUCCCCCAGCAGCAGCCCCGCUCGAGCACGCCCACCGCUCUCCUCCUCCGCGGCGCGGGGCCGCCUGGGAGAUGGAGUGCGGAGCCCAGUGGAGGCUGUUGGGGGCCGCGUCGCGGGAACUACGACUCCCACAAUGCACCGCCGGCUCGGCCGCUGGGCUUCACCCUCCCUCGCUCGCUCGCUCGCCCCCUCGAGCCCCAACCUCGGCGGACGGAUUCUCGGAACUCGCGUGGUCGGCGCCUCUGCUGCGCGCUGCGAAAGCGCCGGAGUGAUUGCAACCAUCGUCCCGCACGUGGAAGUCGUUGUGUUCCAGCGUCGGCGGAGCGCGGAGAGGGAAGGAAGGGGAGGCAGCUGCCUGCAAAACUGGCUGCGUGUGAAGCUCGCCCUGUGGAUGGGGAUGCACGUUGGAUGCUUGCUUGGGCUUUUGAGGAAAUACCCACGCCCGUGCCAAAGCCAAGAGCUGGAGGCGCGGAACCUCCCUCUCCAAUCCAGCCACCCCCGAGUGUUGGUCUAGGUUUUCCUGAGUACUGUAUUCCAGAAAGGGUCCUUGAGUGA